rnacentral:rRNA from 1 species
GAUGAACGCUAGCUACAGGCUUAACACAUGCAAGUCGAGGGGUAGCAGGGUAGCAAUACCGCUGACGACCGGCGCACGGGUGAGUAACACGUAUCCAACCUUCCCAUAACUCGGGGAUAGCCUUUCGAAAGAAAGAUUAAUACCCGAUAGUACUUAAGAAAGGCAUCUUUUUUUAAGUUAAAGAUUUAUUGGUUAUGGAUGGGGAUGCGUUCCAUUAGAUAGUUGGUGAGGUAACGGCUCACCAAGUCUUCGAUGGAUAGGGGUUCUGAGAGGAAGGUCCCCCACAUUGGUACUGAGACACGGACCAAACUCCUACGGGAGGCAGCAGUGAGGAAUAUUGGUCAAUGGGCAGAGCCUGAACCAGCCAAGUAGCGUGAAGGAUGAAGGUCCUAUGGAUUGUAAACUUCUUUUAUAGUAGAAUAAAGUGAUCCACGUGUGGAUUUUUGUAUGUAUACUAUGAAUAAGGAUCGGCUAACUCGUGCCAGCAGCCGCGGUAAUCUGUCUCUA